rnacentral:rRNA from 1 species
AAUUUAAUUUUUUAAUUAAAAAGUUAAAAUAUGUUAAAAAGACGAGAAGACCCUAUAGAGUUUUAUAAUUUAAGAUAAUUAAGAUUAUUUAUAAAAUAAAAAUUGAAAUUAUUUUAUUUAUUUUGUUGGGGUGACAGAAAAAUAUAAAAAACUUUUUAUAUAGAAAAACAUUGAUAAAUGAUUAGAUGAUCCAAUAUUAUUGAUUAUAAGAAAAAAUUACCUUAGGGAUAACAGCGUAAUUUUUUUUUUUAGUUCACAUAAAAAAAA